GAACCAGGGAAGCUGACUGUGUAACUCCUAGUUGAGUGUGAAGACCUGAGGUAUCAGGGGUAGGGGUUGCUCUGCUUGUGUAAGUCCCAUAGUGUGAAGGCCAGAGAACCAAGAGAUGGUCAAGAAGAGAGAGUAAGUGUCCAAUGUCCCAGCUCAAGAAGAGAGAGAGCAUCACGACCUGUGCAGACUCCCCAGCAUCAUAACAGGAAGGUCCCACGAUCACGAGCACAUUGCCUUCAGCAUCCAGCACUGAAUAUGGUGAAUUGCACUCUGAAGAGCUUCCUAAGCUUGUAAGAAAGUGAUUCUGAAAAGCUCAACAUUUUGGUAGAAUGGAGAGAUUUGACAUUGCUUCUGCUCCAAAAGCAAAAGACUUGGGAAGGGCACCCUGGGAGUUGAGAACAUCCACCACAGAGAGGCCUGGCGUAAAGGAGAUGGGACUCACACCCAAGAGGAUGCAUUUCCAUACACCCAUUUCUGAAAUAUGAAGAGGUGUCCAGUCUGUUUGAUUCAUAGCUGCCUGUUCCACAACUGCAGAUACAGUAAUUGAUAACCGAGACCAAGUUCUCAUCCCCAUCUCCCAGGGCUGGAACUGGGGCUGUGUUUGGUUCUCAUAAGAUCAGUUCCAGUUUUAGAAACUGAGUAAAUUGUGGAGUAAAUAUUGCCAAGUGAUGGCUUUCUGCUGUAGGCGUGGGUCGCUGUUGGCCAUUUGCCUCAGCAUAUCACCAGCAAUGCACCUCAUUGCAUCACUGCAUUUCCAAUUACACCUCAAAGCACCACUGGUCCCCUGUCCACCCUCUGCCCUGCAGAGGUGGGUGUUCAGGGAGACAGAUCCAAAAUCUGGGCUCAGAAGAUGGAAAUGCCAACUGCUCUCAAUUUGAGAGUGGGGAUGAGACUUUUUGACUCAACUCUGGUUAAUUCAGCCAUGCUGUCAGAGCUGCUUUGAUGCAAGGACAUCUGAAUGCUAUCUGAAUGCUGCCCCUAAAAUAACAAAUUAAAAACAACAACAACAACAAAAA
rnacentral:lncRNA from 1 species